rnacentral:hammerhead_ribozyme from 1 species
AUCCAACUGAUAAGUUCCAAAUAGAACGAAACGUGCAUCCUGGAU